GGCCACACCCUCUCCCCACCCGACGAACGAUGUGACGUCCGAAGUCUGCGGUCAAAAAAACAAAAAAAAAAAAAAAAAAAAGAAGUAACCGAAGGGACAAGCCGGCGAGACGCACGCGUUUCUCAUUGGCUUGUUAACUACAACACGUGCUUUUUUGUUUGUCUGUUUAUUUAUUUAUUACAUGACGCCAUGUGCCCGCGUGACGUCACGCACUGUAUCCCCGGCUGUAGGACGCUCCGCGCGGCGCGCACAUGGCGAGCCUCGGACCGCGCCGGAAUACGCGCCUCUCUCCACGCCCGGCGGUGCGGGGACACGGUGGAGAACCUGUGAACCCGAUGGAGACGUCAGAUGUGCAGAACAAUUAUGGCCCUGGACGGAGUGGCCAGUGUAUCCAGGUGGAAUUCUUGUCCACUUUGGAUUCGUAUGUGGAGGAUCCAUGAAGGGGCAUAUAUAAUGAUGUACAAUUAUAACAGUAUGUAUGUGAAACACUUGUUGAUUGGUUAAUGUUGGGGGCCUGAUCAUUAAUCAUAAUCUAUUCAUGCAACAAAAGAACUUUGGAACUCAUAUGAAUAUUCCCUGUACUUGUUCUUCUAGGUUUUUCUGUAAAAAAUAAAAAUAAAUUUCCUUCCUUCA
rnacentral:lncRNA from 1 species